rnacentral:snRNA from 1 species
CGCGCCUUCUUCGACCUCCCGCUAAACUGCCUCUUGCUUCAAAAAGGGUAUCCGAGUCAGGUGUUCGCAACGAAAGCGCGCCGAGUCGCACUGCGCCUUUGGGACCAUCUAGCAUCCUUCGGGGAGCGGGGGUCGAGUUUCCAAUCUGCUCACCCUUCGAUGGAUCCCUAUGUGCCCAGUGGGGUAUGGCUUUGCAUAUCCGAGGCUCAAUUUUUGAAUGUGGGGCUUGACAGCUGCACCUCGUAUGGUCCGAAUGGUACGGACCUGUGCGCUGCGCCCCGCCUGAUUAAUACAUUUGUUAUAUAAAGGAG